GUGCUCACUUCGGCAGCACAUACAUUAAAACUGGAACAACACAGAGAUUAGCAUGGCUUCUGUGCAGGGAUGACAUGCAAAUUUGUGAAGAGCUCUUUCAGAUA